rnacentral:ncRNA from 1 species
GUGGGGAAUUAAGUUAUUCUGGGUAAUACCAGGGUACACUUUAUUAACCUCUGGUUUACCUGUUGUUUAUAUGCUCAAUAUUAAUUUAUGUAUAAGUAGGUUUACAACCGCUUAUACAGGGAGACUACUUUCACUUAGGUAGGAAUGAAGACUAAUGGGUAGCACAUUAUAUAUAUGUGUCCAUUCAGAACACGUAGUAUAGGCACGGCAGGAAAGCUAAGUUAGUCCAAGAUAAGCGCUGAAAGCAUAUAUGCGCGAAGCUUACCUUAAGAUAUUUCUUAAAUAUACGUAAUAUAAUAUUACGAAUACUAUAUAGGCUUUUUUUGUAAGAAUCAAGAGAUUUUCAGGAAUGAAGUACUAAUUUUAUAA